rnacentral:Y_RNA from 1 species
UGUGGGUCCAAAGGUAAUGAGUGUUCUCAAUUGAUUGUUCACAGUUACAGAUUGAAUUCCUUGUUCUACUCUACCCCCCUUCUCACUACUGCACUUGACCGGUUUAA